ACCUUAUUCCCUAUCUAUCUAAUUACACAUUAGAGCUGUAAUAUGCCAUUCCACAUCCAUGGGUCUCAGAUGAAUGGUCCCCCCCGCUCUCCGUCGCUCCUCUCAUCUGCCGCCUUCUAUCCUUCCUCUUUUACCUCCUUCCACCCCUCCCUCCAUCUUGUUCCGGCCAGCUUCCCUCAAUUACUGUCACAGGCGGCCCACAACAUUUCAUCGGGAGGGCCGGGCGGACGGGGUGAAGCCGAGGGAGGAGAGACGCUUGUGAUGAGAGGAGGAGACAUAGCAAGAGUUUGUAUUUACAGCUGGUAUCCCAGCAGCAGCAACAGCAGCACCAGCAGCAGGUGCUUGUAUGCAGAGGGACCUUCAUAAACGCGCCGCACGCCACCUGCAGCUGCACAUGCAUGAAGACAAGACAAGGGAGGUUCCAAAGAGCAUUUUGGGGUGUGGUGAAAAGAUGUGCGGCAUUAAUUGAAUAGUGCUGCGGGGGUCCCGAGUCCCUAAUUAGGCACAAGGGGCUGUGACAUCGCCGACACGGGAACAAGAGAUCUUGGGAAGACACGCAAGCGGGGAGUUGAAGGACGACCACGGGGGAAAAACCUUGCACGGUAACACAUCCCAAGGCCUUUGAGAGGCUAUUGUGAGCACACACGCGCACGCACACGCACGCACGCGCACGCACGGGGUGUGGAAAGCGGAUAACGCGA